UACAGAGGUCCCAAGCGUUGUUCGGAUUCACUGGGCGUAAAGGGUGCGUAGGCGGUCGGGUAAGUCUGACGUGAAAUCUUCAAGCUCAACUUGGAAACUGCGUCGGAUACUAUUCGGCUAGAGUAUGGUAGGGGUAGAGGGAAUUCCCGGUGUAGCGGUGAAAUGCGUAGAUAUCGGGAAGAACACCAGUGGCGAAAGCGCUCUACUGGGCCAUAACUGACACUGAGGGACGAAAGCUAGGGGAGCGAAAGGG
rnacentral:rRNA from 1 species